rnacentral:rRNA from 1 species
UACGAAGGGGGCUAGCGUUGCUCGGAAUCACUGGGCGUAAAGGGCGCGUAGGCGGCUUGGCAAGUCAAAGGUGAAAUCCCUCGGCUCAACUGAGGAACUGCCUUUGAAACUGCCUGGCUUGAGGCCGGGAGGGGGUAGCGGAAUUCCCAGUGUAGCGGUGAAAUGCGUAGAUAUUGGGAGGAACACCAGUGGCGAAGGCGGCUACCUGGACCGGUUCUGACGCUGAUGCGCGAAAGCGUGGGUAGCAAACAGG